rnacentral:rRNA from 1 species
CCAGCACCUUAAGUGGUCAGGAUGAUUAUUGGGCCUAAAGCAUCCGUAGCCGGCUCUGUAAGUUUUUGGUUAAAUCUGUACGCUUAACGUACAGGCUGCCGGGAAUACUGCAGAGCUAGGGAGUGGGAGAGGUAGACGGUACUCGGUAGGAAGGGGUAAAAUCCUUUGAUCUAUUGAUGACCACCUGUGGCGAAGGCGGUCUACCAGAACACGUCCGACGGUGAGGGAUGAAAGCUGGGGGAGCAAACCGGAUUAGAUACCCGGGUAGUCCCAGCUGUAAACUAUGCAAACUUAGUGAUGCAUUGACUUGUGGUCAAUGCAGUGCUGCAGGGAAGCCGUUAAGUUGCCGCCUGGGAAGU